rnacentral:tmRNA from 1 species
GGGGGUGACAUGGUUUCGACAGGAAAUCAGGAUGCAAAAGAUGCAUGCCGGAGAUGCUAUCCACUCCGUCAACAAGUAGCAAAAUGCAAAAUUAACUGCAAACGAUAACUUACUCUUAGCAGCUUGAGCUGCUAACGUCUGUCCAUUUCGGGCCGCCGGAUUUGAAACAGGCGUCGUAACAGUGCGGACGCUGCAAUGCUAAUGCUCAUAAGCAUUGCCUAAGAUUAUGAGCUGGAACCCUAUGGGUCUGAUCGUCUCUGCCAUUGGGUUCAAGACUUAAAGACGACUAAGCAUGUAGAUUCUCUUGUUGCCGGUUUUUUGGACGCGGGUUCGAUCCCCGCCACCUCCACCA